rnacentral:rRNA from 1 species
AAUAAGCGGAGGAAAAGAAACUAACAAGGAUUCCCUUAGUAGCUGCGAGCGAACAGGGAUAAGCUCAGCAUAAAAUCUUGUAACUUGACAGUUAUCAAGAGAUGUUAUGUUAAGGGAGUUUCGUUUAUCCUAUAAUGUACAUUUGGUCCAAGUCCACCUUGAAUGGGGCAUAUCCCGGAGAGGGUGCCAGUCCCGUGGCGACAAGUGUUUAUAAAUCAUUAUAGGUGAAACUUUCCUUAGAGUCGGGUUGCUUGUAAAUGCAGCUCUAAGUGGGUGGUAAACUCCAUCUAAAGCUAAAUAUAACCACAAGACCGAUAGCGAACAAGUACCAUGAGGGAAAGUUGAAAAGAACUUUGAAGAGAG